UUAGAGGACAUCCCCUGCAGUUAUGUCCAACCACAUUACAGAUGGCAUGGCAACACGGAAUUCCACUAACUUCCCAAGCUCUACAAGAACAAGUUUUCAAAUUCAAGUCCACAACAUAUUUGUCACCACCUUCCAUAAUCUCGUAUCCUUGAUCUCCAUUCCAUAUCAAGUGGCAAUAUCUACUAGCAGUUGUAUUCUGAUGUAACUUAUGCACAAUCCUUGGACCAUAAUUUCUUGUCCACUUAGCA